UGAGGAAUAUUGGACAAUGGGUGGAAGCCUGAUCCAGCCAUCCCGCGUGAAGGAUGACGGUCCUAUGGAUUGUAAACUUCUUUUGUACAGGGAUAAACCUGCCCUCGUGAGGGCAGCUGAAGGUACUGUACGAAUAAGCCCCGGCUAACUUCGUGCCAGCAGCCGCGGUAAUACGAAGGGGGCUAGCGUUGCUCGGAAUCACUGGGCGUAAAGGGUGCGUAGGCGGGUUUCUAAGUCAGAGGUGAAAGCCUGGAGCUCAACUCCAGAACUGCCUUUGAUACUGGAAGUCUUGAGUUCGGGAGAGGUGAGUGGAACUGCGAGUGUAGAGGUGAAAUUCGUAGAUAUUCGCAAGAACACCAGUGGCGAAGGCGGCUCACUGGCCCGAUACUGACGCUGAGGCACGAAAGCGUGGGGAGCAAACA
rnacentral:rRNA from 1 species